GAGGCAGCAGUAGGGAAUCUUCCGCAAUGGGCGAAAGCCUGACGGAGCAACGCCGCGUGAGUGAUGAAGGUCUUCGGAUCGUAAAACUCUGUUAUUAGGGAAGAACAAAUGUGUAAGUAACUAUGCACGUCUUGACGGUACCUAAUCAGAAAGCCACGGCUAACUACGUGCCAGCAGCCGCGGUAAUACGUAGGUGGCAAGCGUUAUCCGGAAUUAUUGGGCGUAAAGCGCGCGUAGGCGGUUUUUUAAGUCUGAUGUGAAAGCCCACGGCUCAACCGUGGAGGGUCAUUGGAAACUGGAAAACUUGAGCGCAGAAGAGGAAAGUGGAAUUCCAUGUGUAGCGGUGAAAUGCGCAGAGAUAUGGAGGAACACCAGUGGCGAAGGCGACUUUCUGGUCUGUAACUGACGCUGAUGUGCGAAAGCGUGGGGAUCAAACAGGAUUAGAUACCCUGGUAGUCCACGCCGUAAACGAUGAGUGCUAAGUGUUAGGGGGUUUCCGCCCCUUAGUGCUGCAGCUAACGCAUUAAGCACUCCGCCUGGGGA
rnacentral:rRNA from 1 species